UCUUCUAAAAUUUUGCUUUGAAUAAGGACCUUCGGAAAAUUUUUGCAAUAUGAUACAAACCCUUUUGCAGAAAUUUUUCAAUUGUUACCGAACCAUGCCAUUAAUUUGAAUUAAAAAAACGAACUAUUGUCAACUUUUUUUGAAUGUCA
ensembl:ncRNA K11G9.14 ncRNA